CCUACGGGAGGCAGCAGUGGGGAAUAUUGCACAAUGGGGGAAACCCUGAUGCAGCGACGCCGCGUGAGGGAAGAAGUAUUUCGGUAUGUAAAGCUCUAUCAGCAGGGAAGAAGAAAGAAGGUACCUGACUAAGAAGGCCCAGCUAAAUACGUGCCAGCAACCGCGGUAAUACGUAGGGGGGCAGGGGUAUCCGGAUUUACAGGGGUGAAAGGGAGCGUAGGCGGCUGUGCAAGUCUGAAGUGAAAGCCCAGGGCUCAACCCUGGGACUGCUUUUGAAACUGUGGAGCUAGAGUGCUGGAGAGGUAAGUGGAAUUCCUAGUGUAGCGGUGAAAUGCGUAGAUAUUAGGAGGAACACCAGUGGCGAAGGCGGCUUACUGGACAGUAACUGACGUUGAGGCUCGAAAGCGUGGGGAGCAAACAGGAUUAGAUACCCGAGUAGUC
rnacentral:rRNA from 1 species